AUCAGCUUUAAUGAUUGCACUUACAGUGUAAAAGAGAUAAAAAGGCCCAUCAAUACAAUUCUGUGUGUUCGAUCAACGUGGAAUGGAACAGGCUUCAAAGAGGUAGUAGGCAGAAAAAUCAGGUAGAUAAAAUAACAAAAACAAUUAAAAACAAACUCUACACAUUCCGUCUGAUAUAUCAGACUUCCUCAGGAGUAGUAAUAGCAUUCAUGUAAAGUGCUUCAAAUCUUGUGGGGCUCACAGCUGUUUUUAAAGGUCCUUCCCAACGGUUUUCGGAUCCGUUCGUCCAAUCAAUAGCUUUCAAUUAAUUCUCCUUCAGUCACUUGUUCUCUUUCUUCCUUAUGCGUUCCACCGAUCCAGAAGUGUUCUCUCUUAUUCGUAUUCAGGUGGACAAUGUGGAAGUAGUUUGUAGCUGGAAUGCAUAUGCGUUCCACCGAUCCGGAAAUGUUCUCUCUUAUUCGUAUUCAGGCGGACAAUGUGGAAGUAGUUUGUAGCUGGAAUGCAUAUGUGUUCCACCUCGUCUUAAUACAGCUAAUGGAAAUGAGUCCUCACAUGGAU